AUUGAACGCUGGCGGCAGGCCUAACACAUGCAAGUCGAACGAGUGGCGGACGGGUGAGUAAUGUCUGGGAAACUGCCUGAUGGAGGGGGAUAACUACUGGAAACGGUAGCUAAUACCGCAUACCAUCAGAUGUGCCCAGAUGGGAUUAGCUUGUUGGUGGGGUAACGGCUCACCAAGGCGACGAUCCCUAGCUGGUCUGAGAGGAUGACAAGCCACACUGGAACGGAGACACGGUCCAGACGCCUAAGGGAGGCAGCAGUGGGGAAUAUUGCACAAUGGGCGCAAGCCUGAGGCAGCCAUGACGAGUGUAUGAAGAAGGCCUUCGGGUUGGAAAGGACUUUCAGCGGGGAGGCGUUACGCGCAGAAGAAGCACCGGCUAACUCCGUGCCAGCAGCCGCGGUAAUAC
rnacentral:rRNA from 1 species